AUGUCCCCAGAAUGCUCACACCAUACCCCAUCUUGGGGUGCUCACAGGGUCCCCAUGAUCUUGGGGUGCUCACAUCCCCCCAUGUCCCCGGAAUGCUCACACCAUCACCCAUCUUGGGGUGCUCACACAGUCCCCAUGUCCCCAGAAUGUUCACACCAUCCCCAUGAUCUUGGGGUGCUCACACCCCCCAUGUCCCAAGAAUGCUCACACCAUCAUCACCCAUCUUGGGGUGUUCACACCACCCCCAUGUUCUUGGGGUGCUCACAUCACCCCAUGUCCCCAGAAUGCUCACACCAUCCCCAUGUUUUUGGGGUGAGAAUGCUCCACCAUCCCCCAUCUUGGGAUGCUCACACAGUCCCCACAUCCCCAGGAUGUUCACACCAUCCCCAUGUUCUUGGGUUGCUCACAUACCCCAUAUCCCCAGAAUGUUCACACCAUCCCCCAUCUUGGGGUGUUCACAUCAUCCCCAUGAUCUUGGGGUGCUCACACCAUCCUCAUGGCCCCAGAAUGCUCACACCAUCCCCCGUCUUGGGGUGCUCACAGGGUCCCCAUGUUCUUGGGGUGCUCACAUCCCCCCAUGUCCCCAGAAUGCUCACACCAUCCCCCAUCUUGGGGUGCUCACAGGGUCCCCAUGUUCUUGGGGUGCUCACAUCCCCCCAUGUCCCCAGAAUGCUCACACCAUCCCCCAUCUUGGGGUGCUCACAGGGUCCCCAUGUUCUUGGGGUGCUCACAUCCCCCCAUGUCCCCAGAAUGCUCACACCAUCCCCCAUCUUGGGGUGCUCACAGGGUCCCCAUGUUCUUGGGGUGCUCACAUCCCCCCAUGUCCCCAGAAUGCUCACACCAUCCCCCAUCUUGGGGUGCUCACAGGGUCCCCAUGUUCUUGGGGUGCUCACAUCCCCCCAUGUCCCCAGAAUGCUCACACCAUCCCCCAUCUUGGGGUGCUCACAGGGUCCCCAUGUUCUUGGGGUGCUCACAUCACCCACAAGUCCCCAGAAUGCUCACACCAUUCCCCAUCUUGGGGGUGCUCACAGUGUCCCCAUGACCUUGGGGUGCUCACACACCCCCAUGUCCCCAGGAUGCUCACACCACCCCAUGACCUUGGGGUGCUCACCCCAUCCCCCAUCUUGGGUGCUCAGCCCAUCCCCAUGCCUGCAUUUCCCCACUCCUGAGAAUCCGAUGAUGCGUCGUCAUGUGCUGGAAUAG
rnacentral:lncRNA from 1 species